CGACAAGGGCAAGUUGCAAGCAGCCAUGACACACAUCCCUGCGGAGUAAAGGAUUAAAUGUCUGGCUGGAAACCUGAUUGUGCUUUAAGCAAUAAGUUCUUUGUGUUGUUCUAAGGAAAUCCAAAUGUUAUGGUUUAGAAAUACAGCAGCCAUGUUUAUACAAUAGGCCUUGUGGCCCUGCGGAAACUUGUUAAUAAUUAAUUAUGAAUGCAAUCCUUCUUGUGAUGGAUUUCC
rnacentral:misc_RNA from 1 species